GUUAACUAUGAAGUAAAUCUGCGAACAUCACAGCAGGAAAGAAUAGCCCCAGCCCAGGCGGCAGGAAAUGAUGGCAGCUGCUGGGAAGGGGGCAGGUACAGUGGCGGCGGCUGCACUGCCCACGCGGGAGCGGUGAAAGGAGCGCCCAGGUAUCUGUGGCAAAACAAAGUAGAAAAGUUUUCCAUCUUACAACCUCUGCAGUUUGGAGCUACAGAAGUGUGAGACCUUGCAUACACCAAGGUGAAUCUAUAGCUAAGAAGAAACAUAAAGAAGUUCAUUAUACCAUGUUUAUAAACAAAAAGAAACCUGAUAUGUUUUGUCCAGAAAACAGAGAAGCAAAGAAAUGAAGAGAGUUUUGAAUGACAUUUGGGGACCACAUUGCACAGCAGGAGUCCGGAUCCUAUAGAGAAGGUAGCCAGAAAUUCCUGGGAAGUAGGACAAAAAGUACUUAUUUAAUAAAUGGAGAUAUAACAUUCAAUGAAACAAUCUUGGAGAAAACAAAAGCCUGGAAGAGCAAAUUUUCCAUCAUUUCAGACCACCUGAAUAUAUGUCUUCUGAUGCAAGUAUGUGUUUUACUGCUAUUAAUGAACAAAAAUGGAGUACGAAACAUAAUAGUAUAUGUAUCUACCAUG